rnacentral:rRNA from 1 species
UACGAAGGGGGCUAGCGUUGCUCGGAAUGACUGGGCGUAAAGGGCGCGUAGGCGGAUGGCUUUGUCGGGCGUGAAAUUCCAGGGCUUAACCUUGGGGCUGCGUUCGAGACGGGUUGUCUUGAGUGGGGAAGAGGGUCGUGGAAUUCCCAGUGUAGAGGUGAAAUUCGUAGAUAUUGGGAAGAACACCGGUGGCGAAGGCGGCUCACUGGCUCAUUACUGACGCUCAGGCGCGACAGCGUGGGGAUCAAACAGG